ensembl:snRNA U6 U6 spliceosomal RNA
GUGCUCACUUCAUCAGCAUAGGUUCUAAGAUUGGAAUGAAUCAGAGAAGAUUAGCUUGGUCUCUGACCAAGGAUGAUGUGCAAAUUUGUGAAAUGCUCCAUAUUUUU